GACGAACGCUGGCGGCGUGCUUAACACAUGCAAGUCGAACGGAAAGGCCCUGCUUGCAGGGUACUCGAGUGGCGCACGGGUGAGUAACACGUGGGUGUUCUGCCCUGCACUUCGGGAUAAGCCUGGGAAACUGGGUCUAAUACCGGAUAGGAGCCAUCUUUAUGGUGAUGGUUGGAAAGUUUUUUCGGUGUAGGAUGAGCUCGCGGCCUUUCAGGUUGUUGGUGGGGUAAUGGCCUACCAAGGCGGCGGCGGGUAGCCGGCCUGGGGGGGUGGACGGCCACAUUGGGGCUGGGGUACGGCCCAGACUCCUACGGGGGGCAGCAGGGGGGAAUAAUGCACAAUGGGGGGAAGCCUGAUGCAGCGACGCCGGGGGGGGGAUGACGGCCUUCGGGUUGUAAACUCCUUUCGCUAGGGACGAAGCUGUUUGUGACGGUACCUAGAUAAGAAGCACCGGCUAACUACGUG
rnacentral:rRNA from 1 species